GGUCUGGAGGAUUAUGGCAUUCG
rnacentral:siRNA from 1 species